rfam:Aedes aegypti strain Liverpool supercont1.805 genomic scaffold, whole genome shotgun sequence.
CCUUUGGCUCUUUUCAGGGCCACCAAAUGUUUGUAAGAGAGUUAA